GACGAACCGAGCGAACGUUGUUCGGAAUCACUGGGCUUAAAGGGCGCGUAGGCGGGCUGUCAAGUUUGGGGUGAAAUCCCGCGGCUCAACCGUGGAACUGCCUCAAAUACUGACGGUCUCGAGGGAGAUAGGGGCGAGCGGAACUGAUGGUGGAGCGGUGAAAUGCGUUGAUAUCAGCAGGAACUCCGGUGGCGAAGGCGGCUCGCUGGAUCUCUUCUGACGCUGAGGCGCGAAAGCUAGGGGAGCAAACGGG
rnacentral:rRNA from 1 species